CCUACGGGAGGCAGCAGUGGGGAAUCUUGCGCAAUGGGCGAAAGCCUGACGCAGCGACGCCGCGUGGGGGAAGAAGGCCUUAGGGUUGUAAACCUCUUUCAGGUGGGACGAAGCCACUCGGGUUAAUAGCCCAGAGGGUGGCGGUACCGCCAGAAGAAGCCCCGGCUAACUACGUGCCAGCAGCCGCGGUAAUACGUAGGGGGCAAGCGUUGUCCGGAUUUAUUGGGCGUAAAGAGCGUGUAGGCGGCUAGGUAGGUGGGUUGUGAAAACUGGAGGCUCAACCUUCAGACGUCGACCCAAACCCCCUGGCUAGAGUCCGGAAGAGGAGAGUGGAAUUCCUGGUGUAGCGGUGAAAUGCGCAGAUAUCAGGAAGAACACCCGUGGCGAAGGCGGCUCUCUGGGACGGUACUGACGCUGAGACGCGAAAGCGUGGGGAGCGAACAGGAUUAGAUACCCUGGUAGUCCACGCCGUAAACGAUGGGUGCUAGGUGUGGGGGGUGUCGACUCCCCCGUACCGAAGCUAACGCAUUAAGCACCCCGCCUGGGGAGUACGGCCGCAAGGCUAAAACUCAAAGAGUAAGUACGACGGUGAGAAGUAGUCGACGACGACGACGACGGAGGAGGAGG
rnacentral:rRNA from 1 species